UUAGUCACUGUUUUUGUUUUUGUUUUGUUUUAUAUUGGUUACAGUGAUUUGUAAAGCAGAGACUGGAACAGUUGGUCCUCUCUCUCUCUCUCUCUCACACACACACACACACACACACACAGACACACACACACACACACACACACACACACACACACACACACACACACGCACACGCACACACACACGCACACACACACACACACACAGGGCUAAAGUGGUACCCUUCAGACACAUUAGACAGAGGGAGGGUGGGGCACCAGUAAAGAUUUCUUAAUGGGCUCUUCUCGUGUCCUCUUCUCCAUCUGCCUUGACAAUAAGGUCUACAUCUCCCUGAGGCGAAACAAACCCUACUUGUUCCUAUUUCUUAUCAUUUCAAGCAAAAUCACAACUUUGAAUAAUUUGGUACCAGGUCUGGACUUCUACUGAGAAAAGCGUUGGAUUUUUUUUUUUUUUUUUUUUUUACACAGGAUGACGAUGGAACUAUUGGAAAGACAAAAGUAAGCUUCAGAUAGGUCGACUGUGGAGUAAAUCACUUGGACGUGUGGUUACUAUCUUUAUGGGAAUAUCACACUGUGGAUUUGUUUAUAUGUGAGUGACACUACCCAUUGGAGACAGCUGACAGCUUCUGGUAUCAGGAUGCCUUCCCUACAUCAUGGAGCAAUCUUCAUCGGAGCCUUCCUCAUUGUGACUGGGGGCUCCACAGCUUUCCUGGCCUCGUACCAGAGCCGCCUUCAGGCGUUCUCCCUCUGCUGCGUGGUACUGGGGGUGGUCAUGCUCAUCCUGGGGCUUUUUUGGGCACUCAACAGCAGAACAGUAGUGAACUACAACCACCGGGAUUUCGACCCAGACUGUCCACAUUAUCCAUACAAUGAUUACACCAACUAUCCCAAUCAUGCCCUCUUCACUCCUCCAGGAAACCGCUUCCCAGAGUCCCAGUCAGUGUUCCUGCCCAGAACAGUGGAACGCCACAGGCACGGCGCUCGUGGUGAGGACUUUGACUACCCACCCAUGGACUCUGGAGGGUUCAGUCCGACGCCUCACCCUCCACCAUGGCUGGGACCCCCUCCCCCGUAUGAAGUUGCCAUCAAGACCACAUGCAGUUCCACACAACUGAGGCGUGCGUACUCAGAUACUCACCUGGCAACAGAGCCACUGUUCGGACGGUCGAGAGAGAUCAGCUUUGAAGUGUGACAUUAUCCCUGAUGCGCUUCCUUCACACACAUUGCACAAAGACAAUACAUGUGUUUGUUUGUUCUGUCAAAAGUAGGAGUCUUUUGAUACAAACCAACUUGAACGUGAAGCAUGCUUUCUCAUUGUCCUGGCAUGUUUUCCCUUUUCUGCCAGGUUAUGUAUACUCAAAUCUGUGGUGGAAACUGUCUGAUCACAGAAAAACAUAUUUAUGAUGAGUGUGGCUGCUUUGAAGAUCAUCUCUGUAUUUUAAUGGCAAACAGUUCUUUAUACCCACAUUGAUGCAACAUCAACAAAUUAUACUGACAUACUAAAAUUGGACAAUAUUGUCUUUCCUGCAUGAGUUUGACUAAGGAUCCUUCUAUUAAGAGUGGAUAGUUUAAAACUACGUUUAAUAUUUUAUUCAGUGUUUUAUAACCAGUAAGAAAAUAAAAACCCAAAUAUUGAUUUCUCCUGGUGAUGG
rnacentral:lncRNA from 1 species